rnacentral:rRNA from 1 species
GGGUUGUGAGGUUAAGCGACUAAGCGUACACGGUGGAUGCCCUGGCAGUCAGAGGCGAUGAAGGACGUGCUAAUCUGCGAUAAGCGUCGGUAAGGUGAUAUGAACCGUUAUAACCGGCGAUUUCCGAAUGGGGAAACCCAGUGUGAUCCGUCACACUAUCAUUGCGUGAAUACAUAGCGUAAUGAAGCGAACCGGGGGAACUGAAACAUCUAAGUACCCCGAGGAAAAGAAAUCAACCGAGAUUCCCCCAGUAGCGGCGAGCGAACGGGGAGCAGCCCAGAGUCUGAAUCAGCUUGUGUGUUAGUGGAACGGUCUGGAAAGUCCGACGGUACAGGGUGAUAGUCCCGUACACCAAAAUGCACAGGUUGUGAACUCGAAGAGUAGGGCGGGACACGUGGUAUCCUGUCUGAAUAUGGGGGGACCAUCCUCCAAGGCUAAAUACUCCUGACUGACCGAUAGUGAACCAGUACCGUGAGGGAAAGGCGAAAAGAACCCCGGCGAGGGGAGUGAAAAAGAACCUGAAACCGUGUACGUACAAGCAGUGGGAGCCUCUUUAUGGGGUGACUGCGUACCUUUUGUAUAAUGGGUCAGCGACUUAUAUUCUGUAGCAAGGUUAACCGUAUAGGGGAGCCGAAGGGAAACCGAGUCUUAACUGGGCGUUAAGUUGCAGGGUAUAGACCCGAAACCCGGUGAUCUAGCCAUGGGCAGGUUGAAGGUUGGGUAACACUAACUGGAGGACCGAACCGACUAAUGUUGAAAAAUUAGCGGAUGACUUGUGGCUGGGGGUGAAAGGCCAAUCAAACCGGGAGAUAGCUGGUUCUCCCCGAAAGCUAUUUAGGUAGCGCCUCGUGAACUCAUCUUCGGGGGUAGAGCACUGUUUCGGCUAGGGGGUCAUCCCGACUUACCAACCCGAUGCAAACUGCGAAUACCGAAGAAUGUUAUCACGGGAGACACACGGCGGGUGCUAACGUCCGUCGUGAAGAGGGAAACAACCCAGACCGCCAGCUAAGGUCCCAAAGUCAUGGUUAAGUGGGAAACGAUGUGGGAAGGCACAGACAGCCAGGAUGUUGGCUUAGAAGCAGCCAUCAUUUAAAGAAAGCGUAAUAGCUCACUGGUCGAGUCGGCCUGCGCGGAAGAUGUAACGGGGCUAAACCAUGCACCGAAGCUGCGGCAGCGACACUAUGUGUUGUUGGGUAGGGGAGCGUUCUGUAAGCCGUUGAAGGUGGCCUGUGAGGGUUGCUGGAGGUAUCAGAAGUGCGAAUGCUGACAUAAGUAACGAUAAUGCGGGUGAAAAACCCGCACGCCGGAAGACCAAGGGUUCCUGUCCAACGUUAAUCGGGGCAGGGUGAGUCGACCCCUAAGGCGAGGCCGAAAGGCGUAGUCGAUGGGAAACAGGUUAAUAUUCCUGUACUUGGUGUUACUGCGAAGGGGGGACGGAGAAGGCUAUGUUAGCCGGGCGACGGUUGUCCCGGUUUAAGCAUGUAGGCGGAGGUUCCAGGUAAAUCCGGUACCUUUUAACGCUGAGGUGUGAUGACGAGGCACUACGGUGCUGAAGUAACAAAUGCCCUGCUUCCAGGAAAAGCCUCUAAGCAUCAGGUAACACGAAAUCGUACCCCAAACCGACACAGGUGGUCAGGUAGAGAAUACCAAGGCGCUUGAGAGAACUCGGGUGAAGGAACUAGGCAAAAUGGUGCCGUAACUUCGGGAGAAGGCACGCUGAUAUGUAGGUGAAGUGAUUUACUCAUGGAGCUGAAAUCAGUCGAAGAUACCAGCUGGCUGCAACUGUUUAUUAAAAACACAGCACUGUGCAAACACGAAAGUGGACGUAUACGGUGUGACGCCUGCCCGGUGCCGGAAGGUUAAUUGAUGGGGUUAUCCGUAAGGAGAAGCUCUUGAUCGAAGCCCCGGUAAACGGCGGCCGUAACUAUAACGGUCCUAAGGUAGCGAAAUUCCUUGUCGGGUAAGUUCCGACCUGCACGAAUGGCGUAAUGAUGGCCAGGCUGUCUCCACCCGAGACUCAGUGAAAUUGAACUCGCUGUGAAGAUGCAGUGUACCCGCGGCAAGACGGAAAGACCCCGUGAACCUUUACUAUAGCUUGACACUGAACACUGGUCCUUGAUGUGUAGGAUAGGUGGGAGGCUUUGAAGUGUGGACGCCAGUCUGCAUGGAGCCAUCCUUGAAAUACCACCCUUUAAUGGCUGGUGUUCUAACGUGGACCCGUAAUCCGGGUUGCGGACAGUGUCUGGUGGGUAGUUUGACUGGGGCGGUCUCCUCCUAAAGAGUAACGGAGGAGCACGAAGGUUAGCUAAUCCUGGUCGGACAUCAGGAGGUUAGUGCAAAGGCAUAAGCUAGCUUGACUGCGAGAGUGACGGCUCGAGCAGGUGCGAAAGCAGGUCUUAGUGAUCCGGUGGUUCUGAAUGGAAGGGCCAUCGCUCAACGGAUAAAAGGUACUCCGGGGAUAACAGGCUGAUACCGCCCAAGAGUUCAUAUCGACGGCGGUGUUUGGCACCUCGAUGUCGGCUCAUCACAUCCUGGGGCUGAAGUAGGUCCCAAGGGUAUGGCUGUUCGCCAUUUAAAGUGGUACGCGAGCUGGGUUUAGAACGUCGUGAGACAGUUCGGUCCCUAUCUGCCGUGGGCGCUGGAGAAUUGAGGGGGGCUGCUCCUAGUACGAGAGGACCGGAGUGGACGCAUCACUGGUGUUCGGGUUGUCAUGCCAAUGGCAUUGCCCGGUAGCUAAAUGCGGAAGAGAUAAGUGCUGAAAGCAUCUAAGCACGAAACUUGCCCCGAGAUGAGUUCUCCCUGAGACUAUAAGUCUCCUGAAGGAACGUUGAAGACGACGACGUUGAUAGGUCGGGUGUGUAAGUGUAGCGAUACAUUGAGCUAACCGAUACUAAUGAACCGUGAGGCUUAACCUUACAACGCCGAAG